AGGGCUCAGUAAACCAGUUUUAAUUUACUAGAGUUUUACGUUACGUACGUGGAUACCUGUGGUAAUUCUAGAGCUAAUACAUGCAAAAAAGUCCGGACCAGAAAUGGAAAGGACGCUUUUAUUAGAUCAAAACCAUUCGCCCGACUCGUUCGGGCGUUGUUUUGGUGAAUCUAGAUAACACAUAAGAUCGUACAGUCGCCGUACUGACGACAUCUCUUUCAAACGCCUGACUUAUCAGCUGUCGAUGGUAGACUCUGUGUCUACCAUGGCCCUCACGGGUAACGGGGAAUCAGGGUUCGAUUCCGGAGAGGGAGCCUGAGAAACGGCUACCACAUCCAAGGAAGGCAGCAGGCACGCAAAUUACCCACUCCCGGCACGGGGAGGUAGUGACAAAAAAUAACGAUACGGGACUCUAUUGAGGCCCCGUAAUCGGAAUGAGUACACUUUAAAUCCUUUAACAAGGAUCCAUUGGAGGGCAAGUCUGGUGCCAGCAGCCGCGGUAAUUCCAGCUCCAAUAGCGUAUAUUAAAGUUGUUGCGGUUAAAAAGCUCGUAGUUGGUUCUGCGUGCCGCGCUGUCGGUUCGCCGCCUGUCGGCGUAACUGGCAUGUCGCGGCAUGUCCUGUCGGUGGUGAACGAGAUCCCCGGUGCUAACUGAGACUUCCGGUCGAAGUAUUGUGCCGUGUGUGAUGUCGUUUGCCGAUCUCUCCUACUCCGGUGCUCUUAAACGAGUGUCGAGGUAGGCCGACACGUUCACUUUGAACAAAUUAGAGUGCUUAAAGCAGGCUAAAAUAUCUGCCUGAAUAGUGGUGCAUGGAAUGAUAAAAUAGGACCUCGGUUCUAUUUUGUUGGUUUUAGGAAUAUGAGGUAAUGAUCAAUGU
rnacentral:rRNA from 1 species